rnacentral:rRNA from 1 species
ACAGGUAGCAAUACGCUGACGAGUGGCGCACGGGUGAGUAACGCGUACGGAAUUUGCCCUGUACUGGGGUAUAGCCUUGGGAAACCGAGAUUAAUCCCCCAUGGUGUUGCUGAGAGGCAUCUCUUGGCAACUAAAGCUCAGGCGGUACAGGAUAAUCGUGCGUCUGAUUAGGUAGUUGGUGAGGUAACGGCUCACCAAGCCGACGAUCAGUAGCUGGUCUGAGAGGAUGAUCAGCCACACGGGCACUGAGACACGGGCCCGACUCCUACGGGAGGCAGCAGUAGGGAAUAUUGGACAAUGGGCGCAAGCCUGAUCCAGCCAUUCCGCGUGAAGGAUUAAGGUCCUAUGGAUUGUAAACUUCUUUUCUUUGGGAAUAAAAACCGGGAUUUUUCCUGGCUUGAAGGUACCAGGGGAAUAAGCACCGGCUAACUCCGUGCCAGCAGCCGCGGUAAUACGGAGGGUGCAAGCGUUAUCCGGAUUCACUGGGUUUAAAGGGUGCGUAGGUGGCUUUGUAAGUCAGUGGUGAAAGCCCGGAGCUCAACUCCGGAACUGCCAUUGAUACUGCUAAGCUUGAAUCAGGUUGAGGCGGAUGGAAUGUAGCAUGUAGCGGUGAAAUGCUUAGAUAUGCUACAGAACACCAAUUGCGAAGGCAGUUCGCUAAGCCUGUAUUGACACUGAGGCACGAAAGCGUGGGGAUCAAACAGGAUUAGAUACCCUNNAGUCCACGCCUUAAACUAUGCAAACUCGACAUUGGCGAUAUACUGUCAGUGUCUAANGGNAACCAUUAAGUUUGCCACCUGGGAAGUACGANCGCAAGGUUGAAACUCAAAGGAAUUGGCGGGGGUCCGCNCAAGCGGUGGA